GCAUCGAUAGCUCAGGGACAGAGCGGUGGGGCGUUUACCCAUGUGGAACGGGUUCGAUCCCCGAUCGAUGCA